GUACGACGUAGGGAAGUGUUUUGUUAUUUCCAAGGCGCUGGAGAUGAAAACAAAUGUUAGUCAUAUAGUUUAUAUGGCAAUUAGACAUUAAAAUACGUCUGUAUUUGCAUGUGUAAAAACAUUAAGGCUAAUAUUAUGUAAGAGACAAGUAAAAUAUGACGAAAGCUUAAAUCCCUGAAAAGCAAGUCAAGCGUUUUAUUUAGUUUUAAAUGUGGCCUGAUGUAAAGAACGUCUGACAUGGCCGACAUCGCACGUUCAGAUUCCCCACAUUUUAGAGAUUCUAAGACUCAAUUAGUCCAACAGUCAAAUGAAAUAAAGAAAAAUGAAUUGGAAGAUAAGAACAUUAGUUCGUUUAAGAUUGACGUUGACACUGAAAAGAAAUGUAAGAAUAUAAGUUUGCAAGAAGCAUUUAAGAAAUUCAGGAAAGCGAGACAGGAAAGUGUCAAAGAAUCUAGAAAAAUGAAGGAGAGACAAAUGGAUCUAAAUUCUGACCCGGAACGCAUGGAGUUAUUACGAAACAAGUUUAUAGAACAGACCAAGAAAUAUUUUGGUGUGCCUUAUGCCAGAAAAUACUGGGCACCAGACACUCCCGAGUAUAAUUCACCAAUAUUUUUAGACUGCUGUGGUUUAGUUCGUCAGGUAUUGCGGGAUCUGUCCAAAGAAUUUGGUUUUUAUAUCGGACCUUGGAAUCAAGCCUACAUGUAUGAUACUCUGCCCAUUACCAUUGAUAAAGAGGAAGAUAUGAGACCUGGUGAUCUAGUCUUUAUGUCAGGCAUUUAUACAAACCCUAAAAAUAAGAAACAGCGACAUGACAUGACGCAUGUUGAAAUCUGGUUAGGUGAUGGACCUAAAACCAUUGGUUCUCGGUGGAACAACGGUAAAGUUCAAGUAUUUGAUAGUUACAGCUUCCAGGCCAAGAGUUUCCACAGCGAAAAAUAUUAUUUUAAAUCGAUUGAUACCUGGUUGAUG